UACGGAGGGUGCAAGCGUUAUCCGGAUUCAUUGGGCGUAAAGGGUGCGUAGGCGGCGCGGUAAGUCGGGUGUGAAAUUUCGAGGCUUAACUUCGAAACUGCAUUCGAUACUGCCGUGCUUGAGGACUGGAGAGGAGACUGGAAUUUACGGUGUAGCGGUGAAAUGCGUAGAUAUCGUAAGGAAGACCAGUGGCGAAGGCGGGUCUCUGGACAGUUCCUGACGCUGAGGCACGAAGGCCAGGGGAGCAAACGGG
rnacentral:rRNA from 1 species